rnacentral:tRNA from 1 species
GGGGAUUUAGCUUAGCGGCAUAAGCGCCUGCCUUGAAAGCACGUGGUCGUAAGUUCGAUCCCUG